rnacentral:rRNA from 1 species
UACGAAGGGGGCUAGCGUUGUUCGGAAUUACUGGGCGUAAAGGGCGCGUAGGCGGCGUGUCAAGUCAGGCGUGAAAGCCCCGGGCUCAACCUGGGAACCGCGCUUGAGACUGGCAUGCUCGAGUUCGGGAGAGGAUGGUGGAAUUCCCAGUGUAGAGGUGAAAUUCGUAGAUAUCGAAGAGGAACACCGGUGGCGAAGGCGGCCAACUGGACGAAUACUGACGCUGGAGACACGGAAAGCGUGGGGAGCAAACAGG